AUUGAACGCUGGCGGCAGGCCUAACACAUGCAAGUCGAGCGGUAGAGAGGUGCUUGCAUCUCUUGAGAGCGGCGGACGGGUGAGUAAUGCCUAGGAAUCUGCCUAGUGGUGGGGGAUAACGUUCGGAAACGGACGCUAAUACCGCAUACGUCCUACGGGAGAAAGCGGGGGAUCUUCGGACCUCGCGCCAUUAGAUGAGCCUAGGUCGGAUUAGCUAGUUGGUGAGGUAAUGGCUCACCAAGGCGACGAUCCGUAACUGGUCUGAGAGGAUGAUCAGUCACACUGGAACUGAGACACGGUCCAGACUCCUACGGGAGGCAGCAGUGGGGAAUAUUGGACAAUGGGCGAAAGCCUGAUCCAGCCAUGCCGCGUGUGUGAAGAAGGUCUUCGGAUUGUAAAGCACUUUAAGUUGGGAGGAAGGGUAGUAACC
rnacentral:rRNA from 1 species